GGAAGUUAAGAAACUGUUUCUUAAUUUUUAACUAAAAAAGUUAAGAACCGGUUCUUAAAUAAAGACUUUAAGAACCGGUUCUUAGUUUUUUUAGUUAAAAGUUAAGAAACAGUUUCUUAACUUCC
rnacentral:pre_miRNA from 1 species